rnacentral:rRNA from 1 species
AUUGAACGCUGGCGGCAGGCCUAACACAUGCAAGUCGAACGCGUGGCGGACGGGUGAGUAAUGUCUGGGAAACUGCCCGAUGUGGGGGGAUAUCUACUGGAAACGGUAGCUAAUACAGCAUACCAUCGGAUGUGCCCAGAUGGGAUUGGCUUGUAGGUGAGGUAACGGCUCACCUAGGCGACGAUCCCUAGCUUGUCUGAGCGGAUGACCAGACACACUGGAACUGAUACACGGGCCAGACUCCUACGGGAGGAAGCAGUGGGGAAUAUGGCACAAUGGGCGCAAGCCUGAUGCAGCCAUGCCGCGUGUAUGAAGAAGGCCUUCGGGUUGUAAAGUACUUUCAGCGGGGAGGCGUUACCCGCAGAAGAAGCACCGGCUAACUCCGUGCCAGCAGCCGCGGUAAUAC